rnacentral:misc_RNA from 1 species
UCUCAAGCCUCUGAAUAGCAAGCCUACAAACAAUUAAGUAUUUUUGCAAACUCGAUUAGAUUAGCAUUAUGGAUUAUCAAAUAUAGAACAGAGUGAUUUAAUGAUAGUUGAUGAUACUUCAAAUAAACAAUCUAGCACAGGAAAAGCAUUUAAGAAAUUACUGCUGAACUAAACUAGAUUACAGUUAUGACUAUAAAAGGACAGCCAAGAUGUGGAAAAUUUGUUUUUGAGCAACAGAAACAAUUUGUCAUUGGCGUAAAAAUUCUCAGAUUCACAUAAUUUAUGAUCUUUAUGUUUUAUAUGGAUCUAACCAUCCUUUAUGUCAAUUGAUUCUAGGAUUUUUU